rnacentral:lncRNA from 1 species
GGCUACCGGCUAAGACGAAGCCGAUUCAGAUUGGAGCAAAUCGAACAUCGAUUUGAUUCUGUCGUACCGCGUAAGCAGCCAAGAUGGCGAUCCCCGAUUCGUGACGUCACAUGAAGUUCGGCAAGCCGAUUGAACGAAUGAUUUCAGUACUUUUGACACUAAAUCGCUACCGCGUAAAAAAUCGAAGUUCGGCGCCUGAAGCCGAUUCCCAUUGGAAGUGUCAGUUGAAGCCGGGCACUUUUCAGUAACCGUGAUCAAUUUUAAUUUCUUAUUUUCACUGUUUUUCAACAAUAUUAGGAGCUAUUUACGGUGGGCGACAAAUUUUAGGAACAUCUUAAUCAAUAUAAAAUUGAUAUCGGCGUGGAUUUUCGUGUUUAAAUACCUAAAUACAGUGUCAUGGAGAUAGUCGUUUUAUGGGCUGCUGCGGAAGAAAAUGUCUUCAGAAUCUUGAGCAAAUCGAUUGCAGGAUACUUCGAGAGAAAAGCCAGUAUAUACUUCUCACAGGUACAUCUAUUUAUAACAUUAUUUCUAACAAGUGGCUCAAUGUUUACAGAGGAAAAGUUGCUGAACUUACUAGAAGCGAUUUUUGAUCAUUUCAUACUUAUCUAUUUUGUUUUGUUUCAGAGAGUAGCUACAUUAAUAAUUUUAGAUUAUCAAAAGAUGCAUUUCGGACUUUGUAUCAUGACUUAGGACCAUAUUUGGAGGUCCAAUGCUCUACAACUGUGCAAUCGACUUUAAGUGACAAAUGCCCUCAAUCAGCCUGCAAUCGUGAGAUAAUAUAUCAAGUUUCCUCGGACAAAAACUGAGCAUGUAGAAGUCUCCAGAGGUUUUAAUGACAAAUUUGGAUUUCUUGGAGUACUUGGAUGCAUCCACGGCACACACAUUGCCAUUAUCCAACCUCACAAGUGGGAAGAGGCCUUCUUCAAUAGCAAGUAUUACCAUUCAUUGCAUGUUAUGUUGGUUUGUGAUGGAGAUAUGUGCAUUACAUUUGUGAUGCAUCCAAUGGGAGUGUUAGUGCUAGACUGCUAGCCAAGAUAACCAUAUUUGGAACAACAGCACUUUGAGAAGGGAAAAGGAACAUCUCCUUAAUUUAAAUAUGUUUAAGUUCAUUAAGUGGACUUGUGUGGUCCUUGAAAUGUAAAUUACAAAGUCAGUGUGGUGUAAUCAAAAGUGGCAGAUUUGUUAUUCAAUAAUACAACAUCUAAACAAACCUUUCUUUAUUGGCAUCAAAUAAACUAUUUUCAUUACGCAGAUUUA